UGCAGAACAGGGGAGGUCUUGUUCCCCGGCUAGGGCUCCGCCUUCGGGGACCUAGGUGAGGACAGGCAUUUCCUGCCCAAAUGUUGCAUUUCCCAAGACCACCCUGGCCCACCACGCCCCCAUCCUGGGCCUAUAAAAACCCAAGACCCUGGCGGGAAGACACAGAAGUGGUUGGGCGUCGUGAGGAACGCAUCGGCGGCAGAACACUCAAGCGGCUGGUUGUUGAGAGCACGCCAGCUGAAGAGCACCCCUGCACACUGGCAGGCCAUCCACAGGUGUCAGAAACUCAGCUCAGCUGGAAGAAACUUGAUGUACCAGGUAUCAGAGUAGCAAGUAAAGCCACAAGCCAAAAAUGAAAGAGAAUCUUUUAAGUGCUUAUCGUGAUGGUGUAAGUAAUUGUCCAAAAGAAACGCCGAUUCCUUCUGUUCCAUUUUUACCUGUGGAUUGUGGAUUGAAAUAACCAUUGGACCAUGAGGAGAGACUCUGAAGAGAGGUAUGUGACAGAGUGGGGCCUAGGGGUGGAAACUGCUGGGUGCUGAAUCAGAGCGGGGAAAAUCGUCUUUGUUUUCUCCCUCCUUCACCCAUAUGGAGGCCUCAGCAGAGACAUCUGAAGAGACUCUUGCCAGGCCUCGAAGAGACUCUAGAAAUGAAGGUGCUGGGAUAUUUCAUAGGCUAAGAUUCACUUGAUAGAAAAAACAGGGG
rnacentral:lncRNA from 10 species